rfam:Gossypium raimondii Chr02_contig_971, whole genome shotgun sequence.
AACCCAUGGUGAGGACACUGUCUCAAUAAGUCCUUAUACCUCUCCCAUGCAUCAUAUAAAGUCUCUAAAUCAAUUUGAAUGAAGGAAGAGAUAUUAUUCCUUAACUU